GUCUAUGGCCAUACUACCCCGAAUAUGCCUGAUCUCUCCUGAUCUCAGAAGCUAAGCAGGGUUGGGCCUAGUUAUUACUUGGAUGGUAGAAA
ensembl:rRNA 5S_rRNA 5S ribosomal RNA